CAAUAGCGUAUAUUUAAGUUGUUGCAGUUAAAAAGCUCGUAGUCGGAUUUUGGCUGAGAGCGAUCGGUCCGCCGUUAGGUGUGCACUGAUUGGUCUCAGCUUCCUGGUGAGGAGGUGUGCUUCACGGCCACUUAGUCACCGUGGUUACUUUGAAAAAAUUAGAGUGUUCAAAGCGGGCUUACGCUUGAAUAUAUUAGCAUGGAAUAACACCAUAGGACUCCUGUCCUAUUUCGUUGGUCUCGGGACGGGAGUAAUGAUUAAGAGGAACAGUUGGGGGCAUUCGUAUUUCAUUGUCAGAGGUGAAAUUCUUGGAUUUAUGAAAGACGAACUUCUGCGAAAGCAUUUGCCAAGGAUGUUUUCAUUGA
rnacentral:rRNA from 1 species